AGCCGAAACGCGGGCGCGGCCCGCGUCUGCCGGGGAUGGCCUUCCGGCACUGAAGAGGCAGGCCAAA
rnacentral:hammerhead_ribozyme from 1 species